rnacentral:tRNA from 1 species
GCCCCGAUGGUGAAAUCGGUAGACGCGACGCAUUCAAAAUGCGUUGUCUUACGACGUGAGGGUUCGACUCCCUCUUGGGGCA